rnacentral:snRNA from 1 species
AUCGCUUCUCGGCCUUUUGGUUAAGAUCAAAUGUAGUCCCUGUUCUUUUCAGUUUAAUAUCUGAUGCGUCCUCUAGCUAAGGACAGUACAUUAAAUGGAUUUUUGGAGCAGGGAGUUGGACUAGGCGCUUGCUUCGUCCAAUGGAUUUUUGGAGCAGGGAGUUGGACUAGGCACUUGCUCCGUCCGCUGCACGCAUCAACCUGGUAUUGCAAUACUUCCGGGAACGGUGCACCCCUC